GUGCUCCUCCGAUCUGGCAGCAGUGGGGAAUUUUCCGCAAUGGGCGAAAGCCUGACGGAGCAAUGCCGCGUGGAGGUGGAAGGCCUACGGGUCGUCAACUUCUAUUCUCGGAGAAGAAACAAUGACGGUAUCUGAGGAAUAAGCAUCGGCUAACUCUGUGCCAGCAGCCGCGG